rnacentral:rRNA from 1 species
GACGAACGCUGGCGGCGUGCCUAAUACAUGCAAGUAGAACGCACAGUUUAUACCGUAGCUUGCUACACCAUAGACUGUGAGUUGCGAACGGGUGAGUAACGCGUAGGUAACCUGCCUGGUAGCGGGGGAUAACUAUUGGAAACGAUAGCUAAUACCGCAUAAUAUUGAUUAUUGCAUGAUAUUUAAUUGAAAGGUGCAAUUGCACCACUACCAGAUGGACCUGCGUUGUAUUAGCUAGUAGGUGAGGUAACGGCUCACCUAGGCGACGAUACAUAGCCGACCUGAGAGGGUGAUCGGCCACACUGGGACUGAGACACGGCCCAGACUCCUACGGGAGGCAGCAGUAGGGAAUCUUCGGCAAUGGACGAAAGUCUGACCGAGCAACGCCGCGUGAGUGAAGAAGGUUUUCGGAUCGUAAAGCUCUGUUGUAAGAGAAGAACGGGUGUGAGAGUGGAAAGUUCACACUGUGACGGUAUCUUACCAGAAAGGGACGGCUAACUACGUG